ACAGAGGGGGCCAGCGUUAUUCGGAAUUAUUGGGCGUAAAGGGCGCGUAGGCGGCCAUGCGUGUCUUCCGUGAAAUCCCUCGGCUUAACCGAGGACGUGCGGAAGAAACUGCAAGGCUCGAGUCCGGAAGAGGGGGGCGGAAUUCCCAGUGUAGCGGUGAAAUGCGUAGAGAUCGGGAGGAACAUCUGUGGCGAAGGCGACUGCCUGGACCAGCACUGACACUGAGGCACGAAAGCGUGGGGAGCAAACAGGA
rnacentral:rRNA from 1 species